AACGAACCGGCCCCGCCGUAGGGUAUUUUUAGGACGAGUGGUCAUUCAUCGUAGAGAUUAAAUUUGUUUAUAUUUUAUUUUGAGAUCAGGAUUAUAGGUUCAUGGCUUCCAACAGACUCAAGAAUUUGCUGUUAAUUACCCCACACUUUUAGUGUUAAGGAACUCUCGAUUAAGAAACCGAAUAUGAAUGCUGAUAAAAGAGACCAAGCAGGCAAAUGCAAUUUUAUUAAUAUGAUUUACCGUGUACAUGGCUUAAGCAGGGGCAUACCCCCACUAUACAUAAAUUUUAUAACACUAGAUACUCAAUUUAGCGACUUGAUGGUCGAUUGAAGUUUUGGGCUUAGUUUAAUGACUUUUCGGUCGUUUGAAUUUGAGUUUAGUUUAACGAUUUUGCGGUCGUUUGAAUUUGGGUUUAGUUUAGCGACGUUUCGAUCGUUUGAAUUUGGGUUUAGUUUAGCGACGUUUCGGUCGUUUGAAUUUGGGUUUAGUUUAGCGACGUUUCGGUCGUUUGAAUAUGGGUUUAGUUUAGCGACGUUUCGGUCGUUUGAAUUUGGGUUUAGUUUAGCGACAUUUCAGUCGUUGGGUUUAGUUUAACGACGUUUCGGUCGUUGGGUUUAGUUUAGCGACGUUUCGGUCGCUGGGUUUAGUUUAGCGACGUUUCGGUCGCUGGGUUUAGUUUAACGACGUUUCAGUCGUUUGAGUUUGGGUUUAGUUUAGUGACGUUUCGGUCGUUGGGUUUAGUUUAACGACGUUUCGGUCAUUUGAAUUUCGGUUUAGUUUAACAAUGUUUCGGUCGUUUGGAUUUGGGUUUAGUUUAGCGACAUUUCGGUCGUUGGGUUUAGUUUAACGACGUUUUGGUCGUUUGGUUUAGUUUAACGAUGUUUCGGUCAUUUGGUUUAGUUUAACGACGUUUCGGUCGUUUGGUUUAGUUUAACGACGUUUUAGUCGUUGGGUUUAGUUUAACGACGUUUCGGUCGUUUGGUUUAGUUUACCGACGUUUCGGUCGUUGGGUUUAGUUUACCGACGUUUCGGUCGUUGGGUUUAGUUUAACGGCGUUUCGGUCGUUGGGUUUAGUUUAACGACAUUUCGGUCGUUUGGUUUAGUUUAACGAUAUUUCGGUCGUUUGGUUUAGUUUAACGACGUUUCGGUCGUUGGGUUUAGUUUAACGACGUUUCGGUCAUUUGAAUUUGGGUUUAGUUUAACGACGUUUCAGUCGUUUGGAUUUGGGUUUAGUUUAGCGACGUUUCGGUCGUUUAGAUUUGAGAGGCUUUGGAUUUCGGGGUUUUAUUUGUGGACUUUAGGUUUUUGGGAUUUUAUUUGUGGACUUUGGGUUUUGAGAUUUUAUUUGUGGAUUUUGGGUUUUGGGAUUUAUUUGUGGACUUUGGUUUUGGGAUUUAUUUGUGGACUUUGGUUUUGGGUUCGCUUAAACCUCUUGUAUUUGAUUUGGGAUGAACCGUUAUGCUUUGGUUCAGGA
rnacentral:lncRNA from 1 species